CAGCCGCCCGGUAAAACGAAGGGUGCAAGCGUUACUCGGAAUUACUGGGCGUAAAGCGCACGCAGGCGGUCUGACAAGUCAGAUGUGAAAUCCCCGGGCUUAACCUGGGAACUGCAUUUGAAACUGUCAGGCUGGAGUCUUGUAGAGGGGGGUGGAAUUCCAGGUGUAGCGGUGAAAUGCGUAGAGAUCUGGAGGAAUACCGGUGGCGAAGGCGGCCCCCUGGACAAAGACUGACGCUCAGGUGCGAAAGCGUGGGGAGCAAACAGGAUUAGAUACCCCAGUAGUCCCUGUCUCUUAUACA
rnacentral:rRNA from 1 species